rnacentral:lncRNA from 1 species
CUCCAGCAGUGCAUGGAAGUUACCAGGCUAGGGGUAGAAUUGAAUCUGCAACUGUCGGCCUACACCACAGUCACAGCAACACAGCAUCCUAACUGCAUCUGCAACUUACACCACAGCUCACAGCAAUGCUGGAUUCUCAACCCACUGAGUGAGGCCAGGGAUUGAACCCAUGUCCUCAUGGAUACUAGUCAGGUUUGUUACCACUGAGACCCAAGAGAAACUCCUAUUAUUUGUUUUUUAUUUGUUCCAUCUGUUUUGUGUUCCUCUGUUCCUUAUUUUCUGCCUUCUGGAUUAUUUGAAUUUUUUAAAAAUCCAUUUUAAAUAAUAGUGUGUUUUAGCUAUGCCUCUUUAGCUAUACCUCUUUACAUUAGACUAUUAGUGGUUGCUUAGAGAUUAAAAUAUACAUAAACUAUACAUCCUUAUAUACAUGUAUAUAAACUAUACAGCUUUUUCCAGUCUAAGCAGCAUUAAUUCUAAACACCAUAUAUAAAAUGCAGAAACCUUACAACCCUAUGGACUUACAUAGGUCCAUAUGCUGCCCCCCCCAUUCUUUAAUCUAUAGUUGUCAUGGGUAUUGUAUCCACAUACUAAUAAACACCAGCAUGCAAUGUUAUAAUCUUUUGCUUUAAACAGAUUUAUGUAUUUUAAAGAAAUUAAGAUUUUAAAAUUUAUUUACCCACAUAUUUCCCAGUUUUGAUACUCUUCAUUACUUCCCUAAAAUCUGAAUUCCCAACUGGUAUCAUUUACCCUCAAAUAACUUCUAUUAGUGUUUAUCAGAAAUAGCAACAAAUUAUCUAAGUGUUAUUUUGUCCCAAAUAUUUUCCUUUUUGAAGGGUACAAUCCCUGGCUAUAGACUCCUAAGUUGACAGGUUUGUCUUUCAGAAUCAAAUACAUUGUUCCACUUCCUUCUGGCCUCCAUAGUGUCUGAUGAGAAGUCUGCAGUAACUCAAAUCAUAUUCUUCAUGUACAAUGUGUAUCAUUUUCUUUGGCUGCUUCAAAGAUCUCCUCUUUCUCUUUAUUUUCAGCAGUUUGAUUAUGAUACUUAGACGUGGUUUUAUUUAUAUGUAUCCUGUUUGGGGUUCACUAGGCUUUUUGAAACUCAAAUUUACUUAUUUCACCAAAUGUAGGAAAUUUCUGGACCACUAUAACUUUGAAUACUUUUUCCUCCUACAUUCUCUGUUUCCUCUUGGGACUGAAAUUGCAUAGGUGUUAGAACUUUUAGUAUUGUCCCACAUGUUCCCAGAGCUCUCUUCAUUAUUUUCAAUCUGUUUUCUCUCUCCAGAUUGAAUCUAUAUUUAAGUUCACUGACUCUUUCAUUUAUUAUCUCCAUUCUGGUAAUAAGCCAAUCCCCUGAAUUUUCAAUUUCAAAUAUUAUAUUUUCUUCAGUUCUAGGAUUUCUAUUUGGUUCUUAUUUUUAUAAUUUCUACUUCUUAGUUGAGAUUUCUUUUCUUUCACUGACAGCAUAUUUUCCUUUAUUUAACUGAGUAUAGUUAUAAUAUCUUCUCUAAAACUGUUGUCUUCUGUGGAGUUCCUGUCAUGGCUCAGUGGUUAAUGAACUAGACUAGUAACCAUGAGGUUGCGGGUUUGAUCCCUGGCCUCGCUCAGUGGGUUAAAGAUCCAGCAUUGCCAUGAGCUAUAGUGUAGGUCGCAGAUGUAGCUCAGAUCCCACAUUGCUGUGGCUGUGUCAUGGGCUGGUGGCUACAGCUCCAAUUAGACCCCUAGCCUUGGAACCUCCAUAUGCUGUGGAUGUGACCUUAAAAAAACAAAAAAUACAAAAAAUAAAAUAAAAUAAAAUUGUUGUCUUCUAAUUCCAACAUCUUGGGGGGCAUAUCAGGAGUCUCAGUUGAUUGACUUCUCUUAAGACUGGGUCAUAAUUUCCUUUUUUGUUUUUGUUUUUGUAUCCGGAAUGUCAUGUAUUGGGAAUGUUAUGUUGCAGAGAUUCUGGAGUCUAUUUUGAUCCUCCCUAGAAUGUGGACUUUUUUGUUUUGGUAGGUGAUUAGCAUGAUUGGACUUAAACUGCAAACUCUGUGUCUUUAGUAUCAGCUCAAAUCACAGUGCAAAUCUUUUAUUUUAGCUCAACUGCCUUGAGUCUGGCUACAAGCAUGUGUGGUUCAGGGGCCAGUCAGCUAUUUGGAUAGAGUUUUUUUCUUUUUGUGCAGGGCUUUUAGUUUUUAAUUAAUUUUUUACCUUUUUAGGGCCACACCCCAGGAUAGGGGUCGAAUUGGAGCCACAGCUGCCAGCCUAUGCCACAGCUACACCAAUGCCAGAGCCGAGCCAUCUCUGCAACCUACACCACAGCUUGCAGCAAUUCUGGAUCCUUGACCCACUGAGCAAGGCCAGGGAUCGAACCUGCAUCCACAUGGAUACUAGUCAGAUUCAUUUCUGCUGAGCCAUGAUGGGAACUCCAGGGCUUAGUUUUUAAACAUGAAUAAAUACCCAAUUUCCUUGGCCAUCCUUAUAUGCUUGUUUCUGAAGCACAGGUGUUUUGUUCACCUGUCACAAAGCUGGAUGGCCUCUGAGCAGGUGCUUAGUGACAGGAAGAAACACCUUCGCAAGAAGUUAAGGAUUAAAAGGCCAACUUUCUCUUAGGCUGAGGGGAGAGCCAGCUGUGGGUGAACCUGUCUGUAUCAGUCUGCUCAAGCUAUCAUCACUAUGUGGCUUAAACAGCAGAAAUUAAUUUCCUCACAGUUCCAGAUUCUGGAAGUCCAAAAGUAAGGUGUCAGCAGGUCUGGUUUUCCUGAGGCCUCCCUCCUUGGCAUGUAGAUGGUGGCUAUCUUCUCCCUGUGCCCUCACACUGUGUUCCCUCUGUCUUUGUCUGUGUCUGAGCUCCUCUUCUUGUAAGGACAACAGUCAUACUGGAUUGGGAACCACCCUCACAAUCUCAUCUAACCUUAAAUACCUUUGAGGACUUUGUCUCCAAGUAGAGUUGUAUUCUGAGCUGCUGGCAGUUAGGGCUUCAACAUAUGAAUAAUUUGGGGUGGGAAACAAUUCAUCCCAUACACUGCCCUUCAAAGGCUAAGGACUGCCCUCCCUUAAAAGGGCAAUGAAUUCAGCUGAUCCACCCCGUGGUGCCCAGCUUAUCCUUACAUCCUUGUAUUCUGAUGAGGAAGCUAAGGCUCUGGAAGCUGCCUUCACAGAGCUACUUACUGAGUGGCACAUCUGGUGCCCACUUCCCACUUUGGGUCUUGGGCUCUGGUCCUCCAAGCCCAGUAGGUCGUGGGUACCAGCCACAAAGCUCAGGACCUCCCGCCACAGGGUCAAAAGUACCAACUGUGACCAUUCCUGUGUUGAUGGAGGGGCCCUGUCUGUGGCUUAGCACUGCCUCCCAGCAGCCCAGACAGCCUGACUCAGAGGUGGGCGCUCUCUCCCCAUCCUCCAGCACCAGGGCCUGAACAUUUCUGAAAGCCCUCCCUCGUCUGCUGCCUCCUGGCUCUGUGGUGCCGCAGGCAUCCCAGGUCUCAAUGGUCUGUGUUUGACGACCCAAGGGAAAGCAAGAGCAGCUCGGCAUGGGUGUGAAUCACUGCAGAGUCUGAGCCCCUGGGUGCGGCCUGGCUGCGGGGCAGGUGUGCAGCCUACCUCGGGGAACACUCUGCUGCAAGUGGAGGGGUGGGGGGUCCCAGAGCACAGCGGUCUGAGCAGGGUCCACAGUCCUCUCCUGGAGCAUCUGGCUUUGCCGCACUUGCCUCUUCCAACCAGGGACUACCAUGGACAAUGAAAACGUCCAGCGUGGUGGGUCUAGUCUGCAGGGUGGGGAGGGGGGGUUAGCGAGGAACAGCUAGAAGGAUGAAGCAACACCUGGAAUGACCAGAAUCGGGAUGUUUUGGAGAACUGGGCUUCUCUGAAAGUCAUUUUGAAGCGCAGAUGAUUUGGAAGAGCACGGCAGAGCCCUGAGCCACCAGGAAGUCGGGGUGGGGUAGGGAGGUGACAGACAGGCAGAAAGGCUGCCGCUGUCACUAUUCUCCACAGCUCUGUCGCCAGCCCGUUUUACUUGUCAAAGACCAUUUCUAACCAAGCACCACGGCUUUCCCCCAGCGUGAGUCCUGCGUUCACGUCAACGCAGCAUAUUUAUGCAAUCUGCCUCAAUUACACUGUCUAGGGAACAGCCCGGCAACCCAUUAAUCCUCUGGGAAAACAUUUUAAACAGACCAAUUCAGAGACAGCGCCCUCACAAUGCUGACCUCCGCCAGCUCCUUUUUUGGCAGAAGGAGGCAGGGCGCUUGACCUGCCAGGAAGAGGCGGUGGGCGCCGUCCUGCGUCCUAAGCCCGCCCGCCCGCCGUCCAGCCCCUGCUGAUUCACUGCCCGGUGUGUGUGCAUCUUGCCACCAGGUAACUGUAGCCUAACGUGUUGCCCAGUGUAGGGUCACAACAGGAAGACGUGCAAUUAAAGGGACAAAAAUACCCCAAGGAAAUCAACACGGGACUUAUUAAUAUCAGACCCAUAGGUGACAAGUGUCAGACAAUCGGUCAACAAGGGGCCCCGUGUCUGCGUGAUCCCGGCUAACCCAUUAUGAUCUUUAUGAAGUGUCCUUCUGGGGGGUCCGGAUCUGCAGAUAUGAGGGGAAGCCCCUCUCCUUUUAUUAGCAGCUAAGCUCUUUAUACUUUGACCAUAUUGCAGCAGGUUAGAAGUCUAAGCUUUAUUGUCUUAUGUUAUUGAAAAUCCAGAUUCUGGCAGGCUUCUCCCUCAGGUCACGCUUUGUCUGCGAAUACAUUCUCAUCUUUCCAUGUACAGAGACCGUCUGGAGAGAGGCAGAAAAAGAUUAGGACUGUAAUAUACUUAAAUCCAAUUUAUUUGCCUGGCCAGAAACUUCCACCCUCCACAAUUGCUUCCUACCCGAGAUGUUGUCUUUAAUUCUUUCGUGACAGGGAGAAACACAGCUCCCAGCAGGUUCCGGCAAGAGGAAGGGCUGGGGUCCUGAGGCGUCCACACCGGUGGGGAACAGGGGGACCUGGGGUGGGGGGUAUCCCAGCCACAGACUGAAGUUUCUGGUUCAGAACGGCUCCUUUUUUUAUGAGGAAUAAUCUUAAGUCGCUGUCAUUCAUCAGAAGAGAAACGCCUUCAUUAGAGGGUGGCAGGCCCAGAAAAGCCCGCUGGCCGAGGUCCCUGCCACCAUGGCUCCCUCGUGCUUUGUGUCACCCAGGAGGGGCUGUCCCCUGGCCGCCUGGCUCCCGCCCAGGUGUCAGCCCCAACCAGGUUGGUCCCCACAGUGCAGCCCAGGUCCAUCUCAGCCUGUAGUAACUUUCCUUCCAGACUCUGCCUCUGGACGCAGACAGGGAGCCUGGCAGGGACACGAUCGGGGCGGGGGGGCAGGNNNNNNNNNNNNNNNNGUGUGCUCAGUUAAGGGAAGGGCUGCCCAGUGGCUGCCCACCCCUCUCCCCCUCCCCACCCGGCAGAACCAGGUCAUGAACUCAGAGCUGGGCUGCCCCCAUUGUUACCUGCGGGCCCUGCCGACAGUCAGCCCAGUGGAGGAGGGGUCAGAACACAACUGAUGGGCACCGACUGUGUACACUCUUCCAUGCCAGGCCUUGACAAAGGGAGGAAGCAGAGAUGGGCAUCCAGAAAGAAAUAAUGAACAGGGGACCUCCGAACUCAGGGCAGGGAAGUGGGAUGUGGGGACAGGGUCCCAGCUGGCAGGGAGCACCCCAGGAGGAGCUUGGGAGAUCCUGCACCCAGUGACCCACUGGGGCCUCUUUGCCCGGAAUGUGCCUGUUAACACCGAGAGUCACACAUCCCAGGAAACCCCCAGGUCCGGACAAACCACCCUAGCAGCCAGAAUAUCAUCUCGGUGCUGCCCUGUCCCUCCUGGGUGACCCUGAAAGCCAGCUCGCAACCUGGUUAAUUCCUCACCCAUGCACCAUGGGCACGACAAGGCCUUUGACCUCUAGGAAACCUUGAGGCUUUCCCGCUCUCCUUCGGGUCCGUGGUCUUCCCCAAGCUCUGGCUGCCUCUCAGAGAUAGCAGGUCACCAUGUUUGCUGUUCCUCGAGAGCCACGGGACGUGAUCCAUUCCAAGACACGGCAAGCCACACGGCAUCAAGGUGCAGGGCUCGGGAUAAGAAACCGGCUUCCUGGGGAAGCGGCUCCAAAGCCAACAGUGGGAGGCCCUGGCAGCCGAGCAGCGAGCAGCUCCAGGACGGCGCCCCAUCCUCUGCUGCCUGCCCUCGCCACGGGGUGAGACAGGAGGGGAAAGGAGGAGACAGUGAGGGAGCCCGGGUGCUCCUUUUUAAGGGAAUGCUGGGAACCUGGGCUGCCAGCAGCACCAGCAGGCCUGGGUCCCUGCAUCCCCAGCCUCCAGUCCCUUCUGGGCAAAAGGUACCGCUGUGCCAGCCAGCCUGUUGCCAGGCAGCCCAUAAAGAGCUACAACAGUGGUGCCAAAACAUGAGCUUGUCCUUGAUGUUCAAGGCACAUGUGGGCGUUUCGGUUUCCCCAAGGUGAAGGCCAUGUCGAGGCUACUUUUGCAAAACAUCUCGGAAAGUGGCCACGUGGGUCAUGGACAUCAGAUGCUGUCCCAUUAGAAAUAAGACAGCACUGAACGCCUUUGGUGGUUGUCCCAGCC